rnacentral:rRNA from 1 species
UACAGAGGUGGCAAGCGUUGUUCGGAAUUACUGGGCGUAAAGGGCGCGUAGGCGGCCUUCUUAGUCGGACGUGAAAUCCCCAGGCUUAACUUGGGAACUGCGUCCGAUACUGGGAGGCUUGAGUGCGGGAGAGGGAUGUGGAAUUCCAGGUGUAGCGGUGAAAUGCGUAGAUAUCUGGAGGAACACCGGUGGCGAAGGCGGCAUCCUGGACCGACACUGGACGCUGAGGCGCGAAAGCUAGGGGAGCAAACGGG